rnacentral:lncRNA from 1 species
UACUGAAGUCUCGAUACGUACAUUGAUGACUUGAUUUCUCUAUUCUUUAUCUCGAUUUGACAAUUUCAAUAACUCACAUAAAUGUAAGCAACUGUAUUGUAUCAUUAUUUAAUUAAUGUAAAAUUGUCAUUGCAUGAUGAUUAAUGACUUUAUUUAUGUGAUUUAUGAUAUGGGUUAUAAUUUAUUAAAUUAUUAGGGAUGUAAAUUAUAAUAAUCCAACAAUCA